CCUACGGGAGGCAGCGGUGGGGAAUAUUGGACAAUGGGGGCAACCCUGAUCCAGCCAUGCCGCGUGUGUGAAGAAGGCCCUCGGGUUGUAAAGCACUUUCAGUGAGGAAGAACGCCUGGUGGUUAAUACCCAUCAGGAAAGACAUCACUCACAGAAGAAGCACCGGCUAACUCCGUGCCAGCAGCCGCGGUAAUACGGAGGGUGCGAGCGUUAAUCGGAAUUACUGGGCGUAAAGCGCGCGUAGGUGGCUUGAUAAGCCGGUUGUGAAAGCCCCGGGCUCAACCUGGGAACGGCAUCCGGAACUGUCAAGCUAGAGUGCAGGAGAGGAAGGUAGAAUUCCCGGUGUAGCGGUGAAAUGCGUAGAGAUCGGGAGGAAUACCAGUGGCGAAGGCGGCCUUCUGGACUGACACUGACACUGAGGUGCGAAAGCGUGGGUAGCAAACAGGAUUAGAUACCCCUGUAGUC
rnacentral:rRNA from 1 species